UACGUAGGGUGCAAGCGUUGUCCGGAAUUAUUGGGCGUAAAGAGCUCGUAGGCGGUUUGUUGCGUCGGCUGUGAAAUCCCGAGGCUCAACCUCGGGUCUGCAGUCGAUACGAGCAAACUAGAGUGUUGCAGGGGGAGACUGGGAAUUCCUGGUGUAGCGGUGAAAUGCGCAGAGUAUCAGGGAGGAACACCGGUGGCGAAGGCGGGUCUCUGGGCAACAACGUGACGCUGGAGGAGCGAAA
rnacentral:rRNA from 1 species